rnacentral:rRNA from 1 species
UACCAGCACCCCGAGUGGUCGGACGUUUAUUGGGCCUAAAGCAUCCGUAGCCGGUUCUACAAGUCUUCCGUUAAAUCCAACUGCUUAACAGGUGGGCUGCGGAAGAUACUAUAGAGCUAGGAGGCGGGAGAGGCAAGCGGUACUCGAUGGGUAGGGGUAAAAUCCGUUGAUCCAUUGAAGACCACCAGUGGCGAAGGCGGCUUGCCAGAACGCGCUCGACGGUGAGGGAUGAAAGCUGGGGGGAGCAAACCGG